AGGUUUGUGCAACAUAUGUUCAGCUAAUUGAAGUCUGUCCAUCUUUCUUGGAGCCACAUCUAAGGAAUGUGAUUGAAUACAUGCUACAAGUCAACAAGGAUGCUGAUGAUGAAGUGGCUCUUGAAGCUUGUAAAUUUUGAUUGGCGUUUCUUAUCCCACUUUUAGAUGAUAAGUUUCCUCUAAUACGGAGUAUUUCUUGGUGGACACUUUCUCGAUUCAGCAAAUGUAUUGUUCAGGGUUCAUUAAUGAGACUCACCAUGACUACCAUUGCAAUCUAGGUCCAGAUGGUCGGUGUAGCUGCGUACGAAUGCUGAUGAGAGCCUUGAAAUGUGUAAAGGAACUCUGUAAUUGGUCGCUCCAAAGGAAUACAUGGUAA